GAGAAGAAAGCCUACACUUCGCCCUGCACCCAUGCUGGAAAUCAUUAAGCUGGGAAGCAGCAAAGCCAGGAUGGAAGCCUGUGUCUGCCCUCUCCCAGGCAAAUCCAAAAAUCAUUCCAUCAAGUUCUGAGGCCCUGGAGACUUGAGGGAGGGCAGCACUGCCUGAUUACAACCAAGUACUGCUGAGUGAGAUUCAAGGACUUGGAGGCAGAAACGUGAGAGAAUGGAGAGAGACUGGCUGAAGAGCAAAACCUGGAGCUCACAGAGGUACCCUGGACAAGCCGUAAACGUUCAGAAUUCUCCUUAUAUAUAAGAGCGGAGAGCACAACCCCAGGAGGUGGCAGUGGCCGUGGCUGUGGGAGAGGAUAAUGCCCCUGGAGCGCCUCCAAACCGCGACGCACCAUGCACCUCGACCUCGACGUGGUGUCAUGAUUUCUGCCUGAAAAUACACUAGAAGUGGCCACGUGAGAAAGACAACUAUUUUACAUAACAAAUAAAUUAUAUUCUUACCAGUGGCUCAACUCUCCUCUCCUUCCCAAUAAAAAUCUGACUUCUAAC